rnacentral:rRNA from 1 species
UACGGAGGGGGCAAGCGUUGUCCGGAAUCAUUGGGCGUAAAGAGCGCGUAGGCGGCCCUGUAAGUCCGCUGUGAAAGUCAAGGGCUCAACCCUUGAAUGCCGGUGGAUACUGCAGGGCUAGAGUCCGGAAGAGGCGAGUGGAAUUCCUGGUGUAGCGGUGAAAUGCGCAGAUAUCAGGAAGAACACCCGUGGCGAAAGCGGCUCUCUGGAACGGUACUGACGCUGAGACGCGAAAGCGUGGGGAGCGAACAGG